rnacentral:rRNA from 1 species
UACGGGGGGGGCAAGCGUUGUUCGGAAUUACUGGGCGUAAAGGGCUCGUAGGUGGCCAACUAAGUCAGACGUGAAAUCCCUCAGCUUAACUGGGGAACUGCGUCUGAUACUGGAUGGCUUGAGAUUGGGAGAGGGACGCGGAAUUCCAGGUGUAGCGGUGAAAUGCUUAGAUAUGACAUAGAACACCAAUUGCGAAGGCAGCUCGCUACACGAAUAUUGACUCUGAGGCACGAAAGCGUGGGGAUCAAACAGG